rnacentral:rRNA from 1 species
CCUACGCGUGGCAGCAGUGGGGCAUAUUGGGCAAUGGAGGCAACUCUGACCCAGCAACGCCGCGUGAGUGAUGAAGGUCUUCGGAUUGUAAAACUCUUUAAGUGGGGACGAAGAAAGUGACUGUACCCACAGCAUAAGCCUCGGCUAACUACGUGCCAGCAGCCGCGGGAAUACGUAGGAGGCAAGCGUUAUCCGGAAUGACUGGGCGUAAAGGGUGCGUAGGUGGUGUGACAAGUUAGUAGCGUAAUUUCGGGGCUCAACUUCGGAACUACUACUAACACUGUUGGGCUUGAGUGUAGGAGAGGUGAAUGGAAUUCCUAGUGUAGCGGUGGAAUGCGUAGAUAUUAGGAGGAACACCAGCGGCGAAAGCGAUUCACUGGACUGUAACUGACACUGAGGCACGAAAGCGUGGGGAGCAAACAGGAUUAGAUACCCCUGUAGUC